GCCCUAGUAACGGCGAGUGAAGCGGCAACAGCUCAAAUUUGAAAUCUGGCGCAAGCCCGAGUUGUAAUUUGUAGAGGAUGCUUCUAGGUAGCGACCGGUCUAAGUUCCUUGGAACAGGACGUCAUAGAGGGUGAGAAUCCCGUAUGUGACCGGCCCGCACCUUCUACGUAGCUCCUUCGACGAGUCGAGUUGUUUGGGAAUGCAGCUCUAAAUGGGAGGUAAAUUUCUUCUAAAGCUAAAUACCGGCCAGAGACCGAUAGCGCACAAGUAGAGUGAUCGAAAGAUGAAAAGCACUUUGGAAAGAGAGUUAAAAAGCACGUGAAAUUGUUGAAAGGGAAGCGCUUACAACCAGACUUCUGGGCGGUGUUCCGCCGGUCUUUUGACCGGUCUACUCGCCGUCCCGAGGCCAACAUCAUCUGGGACCGCUGGAUAAGACCUCAGGAAUGUAGCUCCCCUCGGGGAGUGUUAUAGCCUGUGGUGAUGCAGCGCGUCUCGGGUGAGGUCCGCGCUUCGGCAAGGAUGUUGGCGUAAUGGUUGUCAGCGGCCCGUCUUGAAACACGGACCAAGGAGUCUAACAUCUAUGCGAGUGUUCGGGUGUCAAACCCCUACGCGUAAUGAAAGUGAACGGAGGUGGGAAGGGCAACCUGCACCAUCGACCGAUCCUGAUGUCCUCGGAUGGAUUUGAGUAAGAGCAUAGCUGUUGGGACCCGAAAGAUGGUGAACUAUGCCUGAAUAGGGUGAAGCCAGAGGAAACUCUGGUGGAGGCUCGCAGCGGUUCUGACGUGCAAAUCGAUCGUCAAAUUUGGGUAUAGGGGCGAA
rnacentral:rRNA from 1 species